CAGGAAGACAGCUGGCCCAGUGACCCUCAGAAGUGGAUUGCAGAAGUGGGGGUACCUCCCAGGUUCUCCAGCGGGGAUAAUGCCAGUGCUGAGAGCCGACUGUGCCAGGCUCCUUCACAUUCCCUCCUCGCAGCCCCACGUCGUGACACCCCACCAGCUUUGACAACCAGCCACGGCAGGAGCAUUUACACCACGGUCAUCCACAAAUGCUACAGGCCAGCACACGGCUGCUGACGGGAGAAUCUCAAGAGUCAACAGAUGAAGAAAAUGGGUGCUCCAUAGAAUGCCAACAGCUUUAGUCUAAAUAUACACAUUUUUAUACAUGGAAGAAUCCAUUGUCAACUUUUAAACAUUGGUUACCUUUUGGGAGAAUAAAGGGAAUGGGGGCGAUGA
ensembl:lncRNA novel transcript